CGUGCGGAUGCACCGUUUCCCGGCGGGGCGGGGGCCCAGUGAGAGCCCGGACGCGCGGGGAAGCGCCCACGGGGACCUGAUUGCUUCUGUUUUCGUGUAUGAAGCGGUUGGCACCACUGAAGUGACCGAAUGAGAGACUCUACAGGAGCAGGAUGGACAUAAAGCCAAAAAGCCAGCAUGUAAAUUUGAAGAGGGUCAGGAUGUCCUAGCUAGAUGGUCAGAUGGCUUGUUUUAUCUUGGAACUAUCAAAAAGAUAAACAUAUUGAAACAGAGCUGCUUCAUCAUAUUUGAAGACAGUUCUAAAUCCUGGGUUCUCUGGAAGGACAUCCAAACAGGAGCCAGUGGAAGUGGGGAAAUGGUCUAUACAAUAUGUCAAGAAGAGUAUUCAGAAGCUCCCAAUGAAAUGGUCAUUUGUGAUAAGUGUGGUCAAGGGUAUCAUCAGUUGUGUCAUACACCUCAUAUUGAUUCGAGUGUGAUUGAUUCAGAUGAAAAAUGGCCCUGUCGACAGUGUGUUUUUGCAACAACAUCAAAGAGGGGUGAUGCGCUUAAGAAAGGACCAAAUGCCAAAGCAUUGCAAGUCAUGAAGCAGACAUUACCCUAUAGUGUGGCAGACCUUGAAUGGGAUGCAGGUCAUAAAACCAAUGUCCAGCAGUGUUACUGCUACUGUGGAGGCCCUGGAGACUGGUAUUUAAAGAUGCUGCAGUGCUGCAAAUGUAAGCAGUGCUUUCACGAGGCUUGUGUGCAAUGCCUUCAAAAGCCAAUGCUGUUUGGAGAUAGGUUUUAUACAUUUAUUUGCUCUGCCUGCAGUUCUGGACCAGAAUACCUCAAACGUCUACCAUUACAGUGGGUAGAUAUAGCACACCUAUGCCUUUACAACCUAAGUGUUAUUCACAAGAAGAAAUACUUUGAUUCUGAACUUGAGCUUAUGACAUACAUUAAUGAAAACUGGGAUAGAUUGCACCCUGGAGAGCUGGCAGACACACCAAAAUCUGAAAGAUAUGAGCAUGUUCUGGAGGCAUUAAAUGAUUACAAGACCAUGUUUAUGACUGGGAAAGAAAUAAAGAAGAAGAAGCAUUUGUUUGGGUUGCGAAUUCGUGUUCCUCCUGUGCCACCAAAUGCGGCUUUCAAAGCAGAGAAAGAACCUGAAGGAACAUCCCAUGAAUUUAAAAUUAAAGGCAGAAAGGCAUCCAAACCCAUAUGUGAUUCAAGGGAGGUAAGCAAUGGAAUAGAAAAGAAAGGAAAGAAAAAAUCUGUAGGUCGUCCUCCUGGCCCAUAUACAAGAAAAAUGAUUCAAAAAACCGCUGAGCCACUGUUGGAUAAGGAAUUAGUUUCAGAGAAUCCUACGUUGGAUUUACCUUGUUCUAUAGAAAUAAUGAUUAAAAUAUUAAAAAAAAAAAACUUAGCCAAGGAUGGGUGGUGACACUUAUAUUUAACCUCAGCACUAAGGAGGCUGAGACAGGAAGAUGAUGAGGUUGAGGCUAACCUGGUCUAUGUAAUGAGGUCCUGUCUGGGAAUAAUCCCCAAAUGAAAACCAACAGCAGACAAUAGUGUCCUCCUCCUUCUCCACAGAUUAUCUGACUCUAGAAAACGAACUCGCACAGGCAGAUCUUGGCCUGCUGCAAUACCACACUUGCGAAGAAGAAGAGGCCGCCUUCCAAGAAGAGCACUCCAGACUCAGAACUCAGAAGUCGUAAAAGAUGACGAAGGGAAAGAAGAUUAUCAAUUUGAAGAACUCAACACAGAAAUCCUGAAUAAUUUAGCAGAUCAGGAGUUACAACUCAAUCACCUGAAAAACUCCAUUACUAGUUACUUUGGUGCUGCAGGUAGAAUAGCUUGUGGCGAAAAAUACCGAGUUUUGGCUCGUCGGGUGACUCUUGAUGGAAAGGUGCAGUAUCUUGUGGAAUAGAAGGAGCGACUGCAUCCUGA